AGACGGAGGUUGCAAACGUUGCUCGGAAUCACUGGGCAUAAAGAGCACGUAGGCGGUCCGCUAAGUCUGAAGUGAAAGCCCCGGGCUCAACCUGGGAACUGCAGUCGAUACUGGAUACCUAGAGUAUGGUAGAGGAAGGUGGAAUUCCCGGUGUAGCGGUGAAAUGCAUAGAUAUCGGGAGGAACACCAGUGGCGAAGGCGGCCUACUGGACGAUGACUGACGCUGAGGUGCGAAAGCGUGGGGAGCAAACAGGAUUAGAAACCCGAGUAGUCC
rnacentral:rRNA from 1 species